rnacentral:rRNA from 1 species
UGACAGCCCCGUACACAAAAGCGCAUGUGCUGUGAGCUCGAUGAGUAGGGCGGGACACGUGGUAUCCUGUCUGAAUAUGGGGGGACCAUCCUCCAAGGCUAAAUACUCCUGACUGACCGAUAGUGAACCAGUACCGUGAGGGAAAGGCGAAAAGAACCCCGGCGAGGGGAGUGAAAAAGAACCUGAAACCGUGUACGUACAAGCAGUGGGAGCACAGGUUUACCUGUGUGACUGCGUACCUUUUGUAUAAUGGGUCAGCGACUUAUAUUCUGUAGCAAGGUUAACCGAAUAGGGGAGCCGGAGGGAAACCGAGUCUUAAUUGGGCGUUAAGUUGCAGGGUAUAGACCCGAAACCCGGUGAUCUAGCCAUGGGCAGGUUGAAGGUUGGGUAACACUAACUGGAGGACCGAACCGACUAAUGUUGAAAAAUUAGCGGAUGACCUGUGGCUGGGGGUGAAAGGCCAAUCAAACCGGGAGAUAGCUGGUUCUCCCCGAAAGCUAUUUAGGUAGCGCCUCGUGAAUUCAUCUCCGGGGGUAGAGCACUGUUUCGGCUAGGGGGCCAUCCCGGCUUACCAACCCGAUGCAAACUGCGAAUACCGGAGAAUGUUAUCACGGGAGACACACGGCGGGUGCUAACGUCCGUCGUGAAGAGGGAAACAACCCAGACCGCCAGCUAAGGUCCCAAAGUCAUGGUUAAGUGGGAAACGAUGUGGGAAGGCCCAGACAGCCAGGAUGUUGGCUUAGAAGCAGCCAUCAUUUAAAGAAAGCGUAAUAGCUCACUGGUCGAGUCGGCCUGCGCGGAAGAUGUAACGGGGCUAAACCAU